ensembl:lncRNA
UCCAACUUCACUUGUCCUUCCUUGCCUCCUCCCAUUGCUAAUAUUCCUCCCAGUCCUCUGCAGAUGUUUUGUUAUCAUGCUACUGCAUGGUUAUUUUUCAAGUGGCUUCUUAGAGCAGAUGUUCUACAGGCACGUGCUCCUUAGCCUUCUGUUGACACUAUUUCUCUUAGAAAAGAAGUGUAUUUCUGCUUUACUCUUAAAAGGAGGAAAAAUAAAACCCAGGACUUCAAAUAAACAAACAAAUCAUUGGGGAUUUUAAAUACCUACUGAUAAUAUUAUGACAUCCCUAAUCAGCUUGGAUGUUGUUAUUAUUGCAUGCUUUACAAAGCAGCUCUUUCAAAAUAUCUCUGCUCAGAAAGCUCUAGCCACCCUAUUCAGUUGAAGAACAAAUCCUUUAACACUUAGCAAUAAAGGCUACAUGACAAAUAAAAUGUGGCAUGCAUACAUUUAAACACACACAAUUCCACUAACAGAUUUUGAUUAUUUGCUUUAGCAAAAGAAGUCCCAAAAUAAAACAAUCAACAUUUGGUUUUAUGCUAGCAUGUAAAUUAAUGCACAGUUCAUACACUGGGGCAUGCUCUUACUUGGGCUCAGCAUCUUUCCAAGGUAUGGAAACCCCCCCUUACGAAGACAGGCUGAGAGAGCUAGGGCUGUUCACCCUGGGGAGGGGUUGGACUAGAUAGUCUUUAAAGGUCCCUUCCAACUCAAACGAUUCUGUGUUUCUCUGACCUUUCUGUUCCACUUUUAAUACAGUGUUUCAUUCUGGUUGCUAACAGGGACAAGCAAGUGAGGAAAAAUUCAUUGCAGCAAAGUAUCACUGGAGGUUGGAUUUCAAAGAGAAAUGUGCAGCAAAGUAGUCAUCUGGAAAUAAAACUGGGUUGGAGGCACCACCUGGGUGGAGAAAAUAAACAAAUAUCAUACAAGUUUGGGAACCAGUGGCCAGGUUUCCCGACUUUCAAAGCAAGGAACAUACACAGAGGAGAAUUUAGAGUGGGAAUGAGUUACCCCCCUCUGAAUUAUUGCAUGGUUGUGCUGUUUGAUGUCAAGAGGCCUUUGCACUGCUCUGGAGUAGAUAUACCAGUAUUUUUCCUCCAAGCUCUGUCUCCCCAUCUGGCUCCACACUUGGUAUGUGUUAAAUUUAUUUUCAAGGAUGAUGAAAAACAUUCAAGAUGACCUAAUAGAUGUGUAUAAAAUAAUGAAGGAAGUGAUAAUGAUGUACAUGGUAAAACAUCUUCUUCCAUCCAAGUCGUUCAACAGCCAUGAAAUGUGGCAGAAAUGGUCAUAACAUAAGCAGGAAUAAAACCCAGUAAGGAUCUGUUUCAAUAAGAGAUAUAAACACCUGGAAAAAAUGGUCACACUGGACAACAAGAAACAAAUUGCAGUAGUAAUUUAAGUGCUUUCAAACUGUAUUAAAAAAAAAAAAAAGAAAGAAACACUGGACAGAAGGAAUGAGAUAAAUAAAACAAGAGAAUAGAAAAGACACUUGAACGCAUCCCUGUGCAAGCUGCAUGGGGAAUAAAAGUGACUGUAAAAGAGCAACUGUUUAUUAUUAGCAGUUAUCAUCAUUUAUUUGCAUGAAGCCAAAUGUAAAUGAAGCCGAAGCCAGGUACUUACAGUGCAAUUGUAAGUACAUGCUUGCUUAUAUGCUUUACAAGAACAAAUCCUGCUUUCUCACCUUGAGCAAUGACUGUUCAAGAUGAUGGCACUGACAUAUUACGCUUGACCACUCAUGAAGUAUGCCAAACUUUCAGAGAUUAAGACUUUUACUAAGAACAUUUGCUGCUUUACUAAGAACAUUUGCUGCUUUAAAAAAAUCCUUCUGGCCUCUCAAACUGAUUUCACAGAAUCAUAGAAUGGCUUGGUUUGCAAAGGACCUCAGGAAUCAUCAAGCUCCAACCUGCCUGCUGCAGGCAGGGCUGCCAACAUCCAUAUCUAAUACUAGACCAGACUGCCCAGGGCCCCAUCCAACCUGGCUUUGAACACCCCCAGGGAUGGGAUUUAUUCCUUUUAAAGUCUGAUUUGAGCCUGAACUCCAAAUCUAAAACCUUGAAGAUGUAUAUUUUUCCCCUAAAUCUGAAGCUUGGACUCUUCUCUGGUACUGACUCUUAAUUUUGGUGCCACAACAAUUUACACUUGUUAAAUGUGUGACUCUCUGUUUAUUCCCUAUAGACUGAGCUGAAAAAAAGGCAAAAUGUAACCUAUGCCUACAUAUGUUUUGAGAGAGCUUUUGAAAGUAAUAUUAAAUAAGUAAUAUUGUUAAAAGUAUGGAAGUACAUUCCGUUUCCUCUUGAAUAGCUCCACUGUCAGUUCUGUUAAUUGUUGCCCUGAGGCAAAAUGCUCAUGUGUACAGAUAAUACUACCCAAAACACACUGGAUGACAACCCUCUGUUUAUACACAGGACUUCCCUCUGUCCAAGUUUCUCUUCUACGUCAUAACAAGCUGCUUUUCAUGUUGUUCUUGACAGAUUGUGCCUCAGGGCAAGAAGCAGGGUGGUACAAGUACCUACAUGUACAGCUGACACAUGCUUUCAUCAUAUUAUGGACUUCAGUACCUUUUCAUUCUCUGUAUCUGAAAAGUGUAGCAUGAUAUAAAAGGCACAGUAUCAUUAUUUUUAACCAUUUUAUCAUCUAUUUUGCAGUUGGACUUGAUCUUUUUCCAACCUGAACAAUUCUAUGAUUCUACAAUUCUAUGAUGAGUAACAAGAGAUUAACUCAAAUGCUUACAUAAUUAAAGUGCUGUUUGAGCAUUUCAAAAUUGAUACUUGCUUGUUCAAGACCUUAUUGCAACAAUUUCAGAUGAGGAUCUUCAGUAUAAAAUACUGAUUUCACUCAUUAUAACACCAGACCAUGACAGAAUUCUCUGACUUAGAUCUGUGCUGAACUUUGGCUUACCUUGAACAAAAUUUAAAUAGCAACAUGUUUUGUUUCCAGUGUAUCUCCAAUUAAUAAAUGCAUUCAUUUGAAAACACUUCACCUCAAGUUCCUCCAGGUCCACCUUUUAAAUAAAGGCCUAUUUUCUCUUCCUGACAUCAUUCGCAGCAAAGACAGAUAGAUUGUGUGCAGAGUUUAUUACAAGAUCGAUCAAGAUAAUUGAGGUAUAAUUUUCUCAGUGAUUUCUGUCAUCAUUUUUAAAGGCAGGGAUGAUUAUGUUUCUCUUUCACCCAUCUGGGAAAACACACAGUGUUCUCAUGUAAUUUGAACAUUUCAGCAAGGAUGUGAGACCAUCUUUUUGGAUGUAACUAAUAGCUCUGCCAUUAGGCCAUCCUCUCUCGAGACUUCAUUUUUCUUACUAAUAAUCAUCAACACUAUCUCUUGUUCAGAAAAAAAAAAAAAGAAAAGAAAAGAAAAGAAAAGAAAA